rnacentral:rRNA from 1 species
UGACCUCGGAUCAGGUAGGGAUACCCGCUGAACUUAAGCAAA